rnacentral:rRNA from 1 species
GACGAACGCUGGCGGCGUGCUUAACACAUGCAAGUCGAACGGAAAGGCCCUGCUUUUGUGGGGUGCUCGAGUGGCGAACGGGUGAGUAACACGUGAGUAACCUGCCCUUGACUUUGGGAUAACUUCAGGAAACUGGGGCUAAUACCGGAUAGGGGCUCCUGCUGCAUGGUGGGGGUUGGAAAGUUUCGGCGGUUGGGGAUGGACUCGCGGCUUAUCAGCUUGUUGGUGGGGUAGUGGCUUACCAAGGCUUUGACGGGUAGCCGGCCUGAGAGGGUGACCGGCCACAUUGGGACUGAGAUACGGCCCAGACUCCUACGGGAGGCAGCAGUGGGGAAUAUUGCACAAUGGGCGGAAGCCUGAUGCAGCAACGCCGCGUGCGGGAUGACGGCCUUCGGGUUAUAAACCGCUUUCGCCUGUGACGAAGCGUGAGUGACGGUAAUGGGUAAAGAAGCACCGGCUAACUACGUG